GACGAACCGGAGUGGCCCGUUCUCAUUCUGGGAAUGAGUGCCGCUUUGAGUUUGUCAUCCUUCCAGAGAGCUGCGUCUACCGUUUACUCGGCCGGACGCACGCGAUCUGGAUCUAUUACUUUGAAAAAAUUAGAGUGUUUAAAGCAGGCUUACGCUGUGAAUACAUUAGCAUGGAAUAAUAAUUUAGGACUUUAGUUCUAUUUUGUUGGUUUCUAGGACUGAAGUA
rnacentral:rRNA from 1 species